CAAUAAGUAGUUUAGUUAAAAUUUUAAUUUUGGAGAUUAAAGAUAUAUAAAAGUUUAUCUUAUUGA
rnacentral:tRNA from 1 species